rnacentral:rRNA from 1 species
UUUUUAAUUGGAAUCUUGUAUGAAUGAUUGGACAAGAGAAGUACUGUCUUUGUAUUGAAACUUGAAUUUAACUUUUAAGUGAAAAGGCUUAAAUAUACUAAAGGGACGAUAAGACCCUAUAAAACUUUACAUUUAUGUUAAAUUUUAUGGAAUUUGAAAUUAUAAUUAUUAAGUUUAAUUUUUUGUUAUGUUGGGGAGACAAAAGCUAUAAUUAUGUAUAACUGCUUUUAAAAGAAACAAAAAUAAAUGGGGAGAGUUAAAGAUCCUUUAUUGAGAUUGUAAGAUUAAGUUACUUUAGGGAUAACAGCGUUAUUUUUUUUGAGAGUUCAUAUUGAAAAAAAARAUUGCGACCUCGAUGUUGAAUUAAAAUAUCUUUAUAAUGCAGGUGUUAUAAAAGAAGGUCUGUUCGACCUUUAAUUUU